CAGUAGCCACGGUAAUACGUAGGUGGCAAGCGUUGUCCGGAAUUAUUGGGCGUAAAGGGCUCGCAGGCGGUUUCUUAAGUCUGAUGUGAAAGCCCCCGGCUCAACCGGGGAGGGUCAUUGGAAACUGGGAAACUUGAGUGCAGAAGAGGAGAGUGGAAUUCCACGUGUAGCGGUGAAAUGCGUAGAGAUGUGGAGGAACACCAGUGGCGAAGGCGACUCUCUGGUCUGUAACUGACGCUCAUGCACGAAAGCGUGGGGAGCAAACAGGAUUAGAUACCCGUGUAGUCCCUGUCUCUUAUAC
rnacentral:rRNA from 1 species